rnacentral:rRNA from 1 species
CAAUAGCGUAUAUUAAAGUUGUUGCGGUUAAAAAGCUCGUAGUUGGAUCUCGGCAGGCAGGGGGUGGUUCGCUCUUAGAGCUACUGCCCCAUUUGCCUGUGUGAUUGGCGGAGGUUUCGGGGUGCUCUUCGUUGAGUGACCCGGGGCGCCGUCAGGUUUACUUUGAAAAAAUUAGAGUGCUCAAAGCAGGCUUUUCACGCUUGAAUAUUCGUGCAUGGAAUAAUGGAAUAGGAACUCGUUUCUAUUUUGUUGGUUUUCGGAAAUCGAGUUAAUGAUUAAUAGGGACAAUUGGGGGCAUUAGUAUUCAGACGACAGAGGUGAAAUUCUUGGACCGUCUGAAGACUAACUACUGCGAAAGCAUUUGCCAAGAGUGUUUUCAUUAA